rnacentral:lncRNA from 1 species
UACACUGAACAAGGCUGAGAGCAGGUGUUUGUGAUGAGAUCCCAUGCUGUGACAUGCAUGCAGCACAUUCUUACAUGAAAAGCCCUGGCUGAUGAAAUGACCACAGGAAGACAACAUGGAACCCUCCCGGCAGGAUCAGAAGAAGCUUAAUUAAGAUCUGUGAUUAAUUUUAAAGGACCUUUUGUUGGAAACAGAGCAAGGAACUUCAGUCUGGCUUUCAAAAGUGCUGAACACCCAAAGUUCCUACUGCGGUCUCCAGGAGUUACAGGUACUCAAUACCACUGCAAAUCAAAGCUGAAUGAACUGUUCCGUCUUUUCUGUGACUUUGCUUUCUGACCAGUGCCCUCCC